AUUUUUUAUUAGGUGUGGUUUCCAAUGAAGAAUAUGUUGUUGAAUCAAAAAGGAUUUUAUUAAUUCACUUAGGCUGCUUGUGUGAUUGUGAAUAAAUUUUUUAGUCUUAGUCCUUUUCUAUGUAUAAGGUAAAGAAAGCCGCAUACUACUUUCACCUGUUUUUUUAAUAGUAAGUUGAAUUAAUGCUUUUUUAAAAAGUGUUAGAAAAAAGAUUUUUUUUUUAAGAAACCACAGUUCGCGAAAAGGAAAAUGAGGGCACAGUGUUCACUUAACAAUGGAUGCAUGAAAAUGACAGCAUCCUGGCGAGCAAGAGCAAUGACGUAAAUCUUUUAAAAUGAGGAUAUUAAACACUUUUUCUUGACAGGCUAAAGGCAAUGUGUACAGGGAAUAAUUGUAAUACCUCAGGAGGGUGAAAAGCUGAAGCGGUUUGUUGGAAUAGAUAUUACCGGGACAUAUUUUUUUUUCUGAUGCUUCCCAAAUAAAGGAUUCAGUGUGUGUCAGCUGUUGAUUUUUUAAAAAAGCUAUACACAUUUUAAUUUAACAGGAUAUUUAUUUUAUUCUCUGAUUUAAUGAAACAGAACUCUUGGGAGCAGAGGGAAGGUGGGUCUCACCCUGUAAGAGCACUAGAUUUCAGGGGCUCUUGUUCCUGCCUCAUGGUGCCCAGUGCCUGAGCUUGGCAGGGGAGGUCGCAGGUACAGUCGGGCACACUCAUGCUGCCCUGCUAAACACAGACAGCAAUGGUGCCUCCACCCAGGAAAGUGCCCUCUGUGUGUCUGAAGUAGGGGUGCUGAAAGCAGGACUCCGACGGGGCUUCAA
rnacentral:lncRNA from 1 species